GACGAACGCUGGCGGCGUGCUUAACACAUGCAAGUCGAACGGAAAGGCCCUGCUUUUGUGGGGUGCUCGAGUGGCGAACGGGUGAGUAACACGUGAGUAACCUUCCCUUGACUUUGGGAUAACUUCAGGAAACUGGGGCUAAUACCGGAUAGGAGCUCCUGCUGCAUGGUGGGGGUUGGAAAGUUUCGGCGGUUGGGGAUGGACUCGCGGCUUAUCAGCUUGUUGGUGGGGUAGUGGCUUACCAAGGCUUUGACGGGUAGCCGGCCUGGGAGGGUGACCGGCCACAUUGGGACUGAGAUACGGCCCAGACUCCUACGGGAGGCAGCAGUGGGGAAUAUUGCCCAAUGGGCGGAAGCCUGAUGCAGCAACGCCGCGUGCGGGAUGACGGCCUUCGGGUUGUAAACCGCUUUCGCCUGUGACGAAGCGUGAGUGACGGUAAUGGGUAAAGAAGCACCGGCUAACUACGUG
rnacentral:rRNA from 1 species